CUCCAAGAAGAAGGAGAAAGAGAAAAGAAAAGAAAAAGAGAGAGAGAAUGGAGAAAGGAGAAGAAGUUAGGGUUUGGGAGAGAGGAAGAACAGAGAUGACAAAUCGCCAUUGGAGAUCGAAUCCAAGGCAAGAAACUUCAAAGCAAUACUUCUCUCAGUGCUAGAAAAGGAGUUCGGGUGGUGGAAUCCACUCAUUCCGGCAAGAAAAUUCGAGAACGGAUAAAGUUUCCUGAAGUUCCUGGACGAAAAUUGGAGUUUAGUUGGACUUGGGUAAACCGAUCGAAAACAAAAAAUGAGAGAGAAGGCAUCGCCGCCACGCGUCAACCGCCGCACGGAGGAGCGUGGUAGGACCGACGACCAACACGUGGCGACUGCGGGCUGGAGAAACGCAUCAGGCGUGCGCAACCGGGUCGGCCCGAGUCCGAACCGGCGCUCCGCACGCGAACCGAACCGCUCCGACCUGUCCGAACCGACCCGUCUCGACCCGCGACUGCACAGAAAGAAGCGCAUGGGUACGCGCACGUAGUACACCCUCCAGAGCGCGUCAGUCGUGCGUGUAGGCGCGUGAGUGACUGUUUUCCCUCCGUUCGACCUCCGUUUGCUUGUUUUUUCGCCCUGAUUUCAACUCUGAUCCUAUUUUUAUGUGAAUUAGGACCUAUCAAGGAAAUUCAAGAAUUUUUGGAACC